rnacentral:rRNA from 1 species
UAAUACGUGAGUGGCGAGCGUUAUUCGGAAUUACUGGGCGUAAAGGGUCCGCAGGGGGCUUGGUAAGUGCACUGUUAAAUCUGUCGGCUCAACCGAUAGGCCGCAGUGCAUACUGCUAAGCUUGAGGUAUGCAGAGGUGAGUGGAAUUCCCGGAGUAGGGGUAAUAUCCGUAGAUACCGGGAGGAACACCAAUAGCGAAGGCAGCUCACUGGGCAUUACCUGACCCUCAGGGACGAAAGCGUGGGGAGCGAACCGGAUUAGAUACCCGGGUAGUCCACGCCCUAAACGAUGGGUACUCGGUGUGUGGGGUCUCGACCCCCUACGCGCCUAAGCUAACGCGUUAAGUACCCCGCCUGGGGAGUACGGCCGCAAGGCUA